CUACCCCACCACUGCGCCCGGCUCCCACCCCAGUCCCCGCCGCUCCCCGAAGCUCCCACUCUCUCCCACAGUCCGCCCCCUCCCGCGCCCUUUCUGCCUCUGGCGUUUGGCUCCCUCCUUGCGCCCCCGCUCCGCCGGCAUCCUCUCCACCUCCAGUGCCCAGGUUCCCUGCCGAGCCGAGCGCGUGUUCGCCUUAGCGGGGAGGGGGCCUCGGCGUUCCCUGCCGAGCGCCGGAGCGCCUCGGACAGUCUGUCCGCUGGGGUUGGAGGAGUUCGGCUGCCGGGUUGUUUCUCGGAUCCGGCAGCCUUGCAGAGUGUGUUGUAAAACCCCUCCCCCGUCAAGAGGGGACCCAGCCAGCCUGCGUCCUGCCAGCUCGGGGGACCGGAGGCGGGUGUCAGUGGUUAGAGGAAAACUUUCCAGCAGAGCGCCUUGCCGCCUUGCCGGAGCAAACCUGGCAUCUGUCAAGAACGCUCUCUGUGCGCUCUUCCUGCAAGGAGCUUCUGUUCCAGUGCAGUAGACGCAGAAGGCAAGCGAAGGUUUGUGCAUCUGAACAGCUAACGCUGAGGACCAGUUGGAAAAUCACAGGCUCCUCAGCCCCAGCUAAUUACUACCUCCAGCAGCACCGCUAUAGGCCGCGGCAUAAAGCAGAAAACGCUUCGUUUUAUGCAAAACCGAGGGUGGCAAAGAAGGCAGCUUCCAACGAGUGGAAAUUGGAUAAUUGAAUCAAUGUGUUCUUUUUUAAAAGCGAGAGGAUGUAGUAAAGUAUCUAAUUUGGACUGAGGGCAAGCAGAAUGGCUUCUCAUGUUUCACACUAAAGAUGGCCCCCCAGCUGAGGGGUGUUCCUGGGAAAGAUGAAUGCCACUGGAAGCGGAAAUUCUUGGCAAUAAGAAAAAAAAAACUGCCCGGUGCAGACGCGUGCCCCACCCAAGCAGCUCCCAGCUUCAGGGGAUCCAGCGAGCGUCUGAGUCCCACUGCCUGGGAUCACAGGAGGGCAGGCCCGCAGCCCCCCCCACCCCCAACCCCAGAGGCAGGUGCAGCCCCUUCCUCUCCCCUGGGCCAGGGCUCCAUUCACAGCGGCUGCACCCGCAGCCACUUUUGUUGAUUUGAAUCAGGGAAGACCAGGCAAGCUGUGCAAGACCUUGGCAUCUUGGAAUCCGCAAGUGAGGAAGGCUUGAAGCCACACGACCCA
rnacentral:lncRNA from 1 species